ensembl:snoRNA small nucleolar RNA, C/D box 49A
UGCUGUGAUGAGAUCACUCUUAGGAAGUGCCGUCAGAAGCGACAACUGACGAGAAUGCUCCUGGCUGAUU